UAGGGAAUAUUGGUCAAUGGACGCAAGUCUGAACCAGCCAUGCCGCGUGAAGGAUGAAGGCCCUCUGGGUUGUAAACUUCUUUUAUCUGGGAAGAAAUGCAUCUUUUUUAAGGUGUUUGACGGUACCAGAGGAAUAAGCACCGGCUAACUCCGUGCCAGCAGCCGCGGUAAUACGGAGGGUGCAAGCGUUAUCCGGAUUCACUGGGUUUAAAGGGUGCGUAGGUGGCUUGGUAAGUCAGUGGUGAAAUCUCCGUGCUUAACAUGGAAACUGCCAUUGAUACUACCGAUCUUGAAUUUUCUGGAGGUAAGCGGAAUAUGUCAUGUAGCGGUGAAAUGCUUAGAUAUGACAUAGAACACCAAUUGCGAAGGCAGCUUACUACAGGGAUAUUGACACUGAGGCACGAAAGCGUGGGGAUCAAACAGGAUUAGAUACCCUGGUAGUCCACGCCCUAAACGAUGGAUACUCGACAUUUGUGAUAGACAAUAAGUGUCUGAGCGAAAGCAUUAAGUAUCCCACCUGGGAAGUACGACCGCAAGGUUGAAACUCAAAGGAAUUGACGG
rnacentral:rRNA from 1 species